AAAGCAGGGGAUCGCAAGACCUUGCGCUUUUGGAGUGGCCGAUGCCUGAUUAGCUAGUUGGUGGGGUAAGGGCCUACCAAGGCGACGAUCAGUAGUUGGUCUGAGAGGACGACCAGCCACACUGGGACUGAGACACGGCCCAGACUCCUACGGGAGGCAGCAGUGGGGAAUUUUGGACAAUGGGCGAAAGCCUGAUCCAGCAAUGCCGCGUGAGUGAAGAAGGCCUUCGGGUUGUAAAGCUCUUUCAGUCGAGAAGAAAAGGUCGCGACUAAUAAUCGCGACUCAUGACGGUAUCGACAGAAGAAGCACCGGCUAACUACGUGCCAGCAGCCGCGGUAAUACGUAGGGUGCGAGCGUUAAUCGGAAUUACUGGGCGUAAAGGGUGCGCAGGCGGCUUUGUAAGUCAGAUGUGAAAUCCCCGGGCUUAACCUGGGAAUUGCGUUUGAAACUACAAACCUAGA
rnacentral:rRNA from 1 species